rnacentral:rRNA from 1 species
CCUACGGGUGGCUGCAGUGAGGAAUAUUGGUCAAUGGGCGCGAGCCUGAACCAGCCAAGUAGCGUGAAGGAUGACUGCCCUACGGGUUGUAAACUUCUUUUAUAAAGGAAUAAAGUGAGGCACGUGUGCCUUUUUGUAUGUACUUUAUGAAAAAGGAUCGGCUAACUCCGUGCCAGCAGCCGCGGUAAUACGGAGGAUCCGAGAGUUAUCCGGAUUUAUUGGGUUUAAAGGGAGCGUAGAUGGGUUGUUAAGUCAGGUGUGAAAGUUUGCGGCUCAACCGUAAAAUUGCAAUUGAUACUGGCAGCCUUGAGUACAGUUGAGGUAGGCGGAAUUCGUGGUGUAGCGGUGAAAUGCUUAGAUGUCACGAAGAACUCCGAUUGCGAAGGCAGCUUACUAAACUGCCACUGACAUUGAUGCUCAAAAGUGUGGGUAUCAAACAGGAUUAGAUACCCUAGUC